rnacentral:rRNA from 1 species
GAUGAACGCUGGCGGCGUGCCUAAUACAUGCGAGUCGAGCGAACAGGCGAGGAGCUUGCUCCUCUGACGUUAGCGGCGGACGGGUGAGUAACACGUGGAUAACCUACCUAUAAGACUGGGAUAACUUCGGGAAACCGGAGCUAAUACCGUAUAACAUGUUGAACCGCAUGGUUCAACAGUGAAAGACGGUCUUGCUGUCACUUAUAGAUGGAUCCGCGCCGCAUUAGCUAGUUGGUAAGGUAACGGCUUACCAAGGCAACGAUGCGUAGCCGACCUGAGAGGGUGAUCGGCCACACUGGAACUGAGACACGGUCCAGACUCCUACGGGAGGCAGCAGUAGGGAAUCUUCCGCAAUGGGCGAAAGCCUGACGGAGCAACGCCGCGUGAGUGAAGAAGGUCUUCGGAUCGUAAAACUCUGUUAUUAGGGAAGAACAAAUGUGUAAGUAACUAUGCACGUCUUGACGGUACCUAAUCAGAAAGCCACGGCUAACUACGUG